UUAUUAGAUACACCGGGAAUACUAAAAAAUAAUGCUCCCUCUCUCACAGAAAAGUAAGUCCUUCCUACAAUAUAGAGGGUGAAUCCCACAUAAUUAUAAAAGAUGAUGCAUGUGCACCGAAUGCACCUAAUAAUUUCUCAACUAAACUAAACACUCAAUGUAAUCCUCUAACAUGAAAAUGCAUGAACCUUUAUAUUAAAAAAAAAUGCACCACAAAAAA
rnacentral:misc_RNA from 1 species